UACGUAGGGGGCAAGCGUUGUCCGGAUUUAUUGGGCGUAAAGAGCGUGUAGGCGGUUUGGUAGGUCCGUUGUGAAAACUCGAGGCUCAACCUCGAGACGCCGGCGGAAACCAUCAGGCUAGAGUCCGGAAGAGGAGAGUGGAAUUCCUGGUGUAGCGGUGAAAUGCGCAGAUAUCAGGAAGAACACCGGUGGCGAAGGCGGUCUGCUGGGGUGAGGCUGACGCUCAGGCACGAAAGCGUGGGGAGCAAACAGG
rnacentral:rRNA from 1 species